rnacentral:sRNA from 1 species
UUAACCAAUGAUCCUCACACUAGGCAUAG